UUGUGCCAGCCGCCGCGGUAAUACGAAGGGGGCUAGCGUUGCUCGGAAUCACUGGGCGUAAAGGGCGCGUAGGCGGCCAUUUAAGUCGGGGGUGAAAGCCUGUGGCUCAACCACAGAAUUGCCUUCGAUACUGGGUGGCUUGAGUCCGGAAGAGGUUGGUGGAACUGCGAGUGUAGAGGUGAAAUUCGUAGAUAUUCGCAAGAACACCGGUGGCGAAGGCGGCCAACUGGUCCGGAACUGACGCUGAGGCGCGAAAGCGUGG
rnacentral:rRNA from 1 species